rnacentral:rRNA from 1 species
AUGAACGCGAUUCGGUCGGCCCUCGCGAGGGCGCUCUCCGCCCCGAAGCCCCGGCCGCUGCUAGCGCGCCACUACGCCUCCGUCGGCGGCACGCAGCCGGAGAGGGUGGCGGCGGAGAUGGUCCGCUACGCCCUCGGCGGCGCACGGCAUCAGAGCCCGUCAGAGGACGCGAUGCGGAUACUGGAGCAGGGGGCGUCGAACCUGCAGGGCGGCGGCGAGGGCGCCGCCGAGGCCGUGAGCAUGCUCAUGCUCGCCAUGUCCACGCUGCUCUACAGGAGUGGAAGACGUGAAGAUGCAAUGGAAAAGCUCAAAGCAACCCAGCAAGUCGCUCCUUCUGCAGCUUUCAGAGUUGCUGCAUGGGAAGCACUAAUGGGAAUACGCAUGGAAGCAAGCCAGGAUGUCUCCUCAUCGAUGUCCCCGAAUGAUUCGGUUGAUUUGUCAAUCAAAGAAGAAGAAAUCAAAUGGUCUGAUCAGGACCAUCUGAAAUUUCGGGUUGAUGCAAUCAAAGGACUUGCUGCUCUUCUAAAUGGAGAGAUAGACUCAGCCCAGACGCUCUUUGGUGGGCCCAACAGUUGCUAUGCUGCAGUAGGCAAUAACCAAACAGAAAAUGCCGUCUUUACAUAUGGUGAAUAUCUGCACUGUACUGGGGAUUUUCCUUUGGCAACACAAAUGUAUGAAAAGGUUCUUGAGGCAGCAAGCAGAGAAGAUAUAUCUGGAAAUCUGUUAGCUGCUGGAAACAUGGCCCCUGAGGAGGUUUCUCUGGGUGCCACUUGCUCAUACGGCCAGCUUUUAUCUCAUUCUGGGAAGUUUGAUGAGGCAGAGGACUAUCUCACAAGAGCACUACAGAAGGCUGAAGAACAAUUCGGUUCAAAUCACCCAAAGGUUGGUAUGGUAUUGACUUGUGUAGCAAGAAUGUAUAAACUGAAAGCAAAAUCUGAAGGUUCUAGUUCAAUAAUGGUUCAGGAGGGGCUAUACAGGAAGGCUCUAGAAGUAUUGAAAGCACCUGCCAUCAACUCUGAGGACACAAGAAGGCAGGUCGAUUGGAGAGAUAUCAUUUCACUUGCUAGAGGCGAGUAUGCCGAACUGUUGCUUAUCCAGUCGAAUAGGAAGGCAGAAGGUGAGCGAAUGAAGGAGUGGGCAGAGGAUGCCUGGAAGAAUCAUAGGUUAACAUUAGCCCAAGCGUUGGAGUUUUCAGAAGCUUCAAAGCCUACAGUGGUUGAUACCCGCAUCGGCAGGGUCAUAUAG